UACGGAGGGUGCAAGCGUUACUCGGAAUCACUGGGCGUAAAGCGCGCGCAGGCGGCUAGAUAAGUUGGAAGUGAAAUCCUAUGGCUCAACCAUAGAACUGCUUCCAAAACUGUUUAGCUAGAGUCUGAGAGGGGAAGAUGGAAUUAGUAGUGUAGGGGUAAAAUCCGUAGAGAUUACUAGGAAUACCAAAAGCGAAGGCGAUCUUCUGGAACAGUACUGACGCUGAGGCGCGAAAGCGUGGGGAGCAAACAGGAUUAGAUACCCUGGUAGUCCACGCCCUAAACGAUGAAUGUUAGUCGUCGGGACUCUAGUAGUUUCGGUGAUGCAGUUAACACAUUAAACAUUCCGCCUGGGGAGUACGGUCGCAAGAUUAAAACUCAAAGGAAUAGACGGGGACCCGCACAAGUGGUGGAGCAUGUGGUUUAAUUCGAAGAUACGCGAAGAACCUUACCUAGCCUUGACAUAUUUUAGAACUCCGCAGAGAUGUAGAGGUGCCUUCGGGAGCUAAUAUACAGGUGCUGCACGGCUGUCGUCAGCUCGUGUCGUGAGAUGUUGGGUUAAGUCCCGCAACGAGCGCAACCCUCGUUCUUAGUUACUAACGGUUCGGCCGAGGACUCUAAGAAGACUGCCUUCGUAAGGAGGAGGAAGGUGAGGACGACGUUAAGUCAUCAUGGCCCUUACGGCUAGGGCAACACACGUGCUACAAUGGUUAGGACAAUGAGACGCAAUACCGCGAGGUGGAGCAAAUCUAUAAACCUAAUCUCAGUUCGGAUUGUAGUCUGCAACUCGACUACAUGAAGCUGGAAUCACUAGUAAUCGUAGAUCAGCUAUGCUACG
rnacentral:rRNA from 1 species